AAAAAUAGCUCGUAUCGAUAUAGGAAUCGUCACAGUGUGCUUCGGAUCUCUCCAUAUUAGGCUCCCAAAUCUAUAAUCUCCAUAUACUUUCCCAGUCGUGAAGAAAGUAACUUUAAAGGGUACAAUUUGGGUGGUUUUAUUGAACCUCAAUAUCUGGGGUUCUACUUUCAUCUUUAUACCUUGUGGAGCUUCCACAACAGCUUUAUAUAUUGACUCAACGGGUCCGACAUUCGUUACCUUUCGGCUCACUGUUACUUUUCUUUUCAGGUAUGGGAUGGUGAUGGAUGGAAGGUUGAGGUUCAACUCAUUUAGUCUAUUUUUGGUACAAUUGGCUUUGGUCUGGGUUAAACCACUCACAGACUUGCU
rnacentral:lncRNA from 1 species